GUGCUCGUGUCGGCAGCACACGCUAAAAUUGGAACGACAGAGAAGACUCCCACGGCCCCUGCACAAGGAUGACAUGCAAAUUCAUGAAGUGUUCCGUAUUUUC
ensembl:snRNA U6 U6 spliceosomal RNA